rnacentral:rRNA from 1 species
UACGUAGGGGGCAAGCGUUGUCCGGAUUUAUUGGGCGUAAAGAGCGUGUAGGCGGCUUGACAGGUCUGCUGUGAAAACUCGAGGCUCAACCUCGAGAUGUCGGCGGAAACCGUCUGGCUAGAGUCCGGAAGAGGAGAGUGGAAUUCCUGGUGUAGCGGUGAAAUGCGCAGAUAUCAGGAAGAACACCUAUGGCGAGGGCAGCUCUCUGGGACGGUACUGACGCUGAGACGCGAAAGCGUGGGGAGCGAACAGG